rnacentral:misc_RNA from 1 species
UUUCCGUAGGUGAACCUGCGGAAGGAUCAUUAUCGAGUUUUGACUGGGUUGUAGCUGGCCUUCCGAGGCAGGUGCACGCCCUGCUCAUCCACUCUACACCUGUGCACUUACUGUGGGUUUCAGAUCGUCAAGCGUGCUCUUUUACCGGAGCUUGUGAAACGUGUCUGUGCCUGCGUUCAUCACAAACACUAUAAAGUAUCAGAAUGUGUAUUACGAUUCAACGCAUCUAUAUACAACUUUCAGCAACGGAUCUCUUGGCUCUC